AUGGCCACAGCGACCCCUCCCCUUCUCUCCGUGGCCACGACAGCUCAGGCAGGGGCACACACCCAACAUCGCCAUGGACCAGUAGCUCAAGCAUUUUUCUUCCUGAUGGUGAUGGGGUUCCAUCACCAUAUUCAGGUGAAGCUCUAUCUAUUCUCUACUACAGUGUCUACAGUGGACUGUUUGCACCUUCUGUGCAAAUACCUGAUUGUAUAUGGAUUGAAUGGAUGGAUAGAUUGCAGGGUCUACAAUGCACCACCUUGA
rnacentral:rRNA from 1 species